AGGAUUAACGCUGGCGGCGUGCAUGAAACAUGCAAGUCGAGCGCGGUGUGAUGCGGGGUAACCCAAUUCACAUCUAGCGGCGAACGGGUGAGUAACACGUGAGCAACCUACCUUUGAGUUGGGGAUAGCCCUGGGAAACCAGGAUUAAUACCCGAUGUGGUCACAACAGGACAUCCUGAUGUGAGUAAAGGCGUAAGCCGCUCAAUGACGGGCUCGCGGCCUAUUAGCUUGUUGGUGGGGUAACGGCCUACCAAGGCGAUGAUGGGUAGCUGGUCUGAGAGGACGAUCAGCCACACUGGGACUGAGACACGGCCCAGACUCCUACGGGAGGCAGCAGUGGGGAAUAUUGGACAAUGGGCGAAAGCCUGAUCCAGCCAUGCCGCGUGUGUGAUGAAGGCCUUCGGGUUGUAAAGCACUUUCGCACGUGACGAUGAUGACGGUAACGUGAGAAGAGCCCGGCUAACUUCGCGCCAGCAGCCGA
rnacentral:rRNA from 1 species